rnacentral:rRNA from 1 species
UACGUAGGGGCAAGCGUUGUCCGGAUUUAUUGGGCGUAAAGAGCUCGUAGGCGGCUUGUCGCGUCGACCGUGAAAACUUGGGCUCAACCCCAAGCCUGCGGUCGAUACGGGCAGGCUCGAGUUCGGUAGGGGAGACUGGAAUUCCUGGUGUAGCGGUGAAAUUCGUAGAUAUUCGCAAGAACACCAGUGGCGAAGGCGGCUCACUGGCCCGAUACUGACGCUGAGGCACGAAAGCGUGGGAGCAACAGG